rnacentral:hammerhead_ribozyme from 1 species
AUCCAGUUGACGAAUCCCAAAUAUGACGAAACGCACGUCAGGCUGGAU